AUGGCGGUUACUCUGAAGCUCAGGAUCCUUGCCGUGGCCGCUGCCGUCGCCGUCAUGGUUACCAUGGCCUCUGCGGCUGACGAACCGGCUCCUGCGCCGGCAUCUGGAGCUUCAGCGGCCGCCCCGGCUCUUGCCAUGGCUUCCUUGUCCGCACUUGUCUUUGGCUACUUCUUCUAA
rnacentral:rRNA from 1 species